UAACAGGAUUCCCUAGUAGCGGCGAGCGAAGCGGGAAGAGCUCAAAUUUGUAAUCUGGCGCUUUCAGCGUCCGAGUUGUAAUCUCUAGAAAUGUUUUCCGCGUUGCACCGCACACAAGUCUGUUGGAAUACAGCGGCACAGUGGUGAGACCCCCGUUCAUGGUGCGGAUGCGCAAUGCUUUGUGAUACAUUUUCGAAGAGUCGAGUUGUUUGGGAAUGCAGCUCAAAUUGGGUGGUAAAUUCCAUCUAAAGCUAAAUAUUGGCGAGAGACCGAUAGCGAACAAGUACCGUGAGGGAAAGAUGAAAAGCACUUUGGAAAGAGAGUUAACAGUACGUGAAAUUGUUGGAAGGGAAACGCUUGAAGUCAGACUUGCUGUUCGGAGUUCAGCCGCAAGGUGUACUCUCCGAGUUGCAGGCCAGCAUCAGUUUUUCGGGGUGGAAAAUCACGGUUUGAAGGUAGCAGUUUCGGCUGUGUUAUAGCUUUCCGUUGGAUACAUCCUGGGGGACUGAGGAACGCAGUGUGCUUUAGCAGGGGUUCGACCUCUCACACUAGGAUGCUGUU
rnacentral:rRNA from 1 species